CUCUACACAAGACGGGCUGCCUCAGUCGCGGACGGACAAGCAGAUCGCCAUGGCGAUGGGUCCGGAUGCAAGCCUUCGCUGCCAGCGAUGUUCUUCCCUGGCCCCUCAUCGGAAGCAUCCACCCAGGUGCCCUGCUGUGUACCCCAUGUAGCUACAGAGACCAUGUACAGGUAGAAGACAGCGGAGGGCAAAGCAAGAGUUUUCUUUUAGGAAGGUGAAGAUUUAUUGACAAGAGGUGCAAGAUUCUAAGGGGCCGCUCAGUCUCCUGCCGCCAGAGCCGAUCUGGAACCUGGGAUAAUGGAAUCAGGCCUCUCUCCGCUGUUCC